AUGGAGCACCUGCUGGUUGCCUGUCCAUUCUUGCGACAGGUUUGGCAUGACUGCUUCAAUUGGUGUUACCCCCAAGCACAUGCGUUGGCGCCCAACAACCAGUUCUUAGGCUGGUGGCACGCCAUGACGUCUAGUGCACCGGCAACGCACCGGAACGGCAUCUCCUUGCUCAUACUCGUGGUGGCCUGGUCCAUUUGGAAGCAUCGAAAUUCUUGCGUCUUCGGUGGCGCCACUCCCUCCGCCUCCCAGCUUCUCCAUGCCAUCCAAGAGAAGGCACGCUCCUAGGUCAAGGCAGGGGCCACGGGUCUGGCAACCAUUACGUCGUAG
rnacentral:rRNA from 1 species